rnacentral:rRNA from 1 species
AGAGUUUGAUCAUGGCUCAGGAUGAACGCUAGCGGCAGGCCUAAUACAUGCAAGUCGAGGGGUAAGAGUCAGCUUGCUGACUACACGACCGGCGCACGGGUGAGUAACGCGUAUGCAACCUACCUUUAACAGAGGAAUAGCCCCGAGAAAUCGGGAUUAAUACCACAUAACAUUAUGAUAUGGCAUCAUAUUAUAAUUAAAACUCUGGUGGUUAAAGAUGGGCAUGCGUGACAUUAGCUUGUUGGUGAGGUAACUGCUCACCAAGGCAACGAUGUCUAGGGGUUCUGAGAGGAUGAUCCCCCACACUGGUACUGAGACACGGACCAGACUCCUACGGGAGGCAGCAGUAAGGAAUAUUGCGCAAUGGAGGAAACUCUGACGCAGCCAUGCCGCGUGCAGGAUUGAAGGCCUUAUGGGUCGUAAACUGCUUUUAUUUAGGAAUAAACUUUCGUA